AGGGCGUAUGGUGGAUGCCUUGGCAGACAGGACCGAUGAAGGACGUUUGAGGCUGCGAUAUGCCUCGGGGAGCCGCCAACAGGGCUUUGAUCCGAGGAUUUCCGAAUGGGGGAACCCACCGACCGUCAUGGGUCGGUACCGGCUUCGGCCGGGGGGUACGCAGGGAAGUGAAACAUCUCAGUACCUGCAGGAAAGGAUAUUCCGUGAGUAGUGGCGAGCGAAAGCGGAUGAUGGCCAAACCUUGCGCGUGUGAUACCCGUCGGGGGUUGCGCGCGGGGUGUUGCGGGAUCGCGUGCGCCGGCUCCGACGGGCCGGCCGGCAGUUGCAGAAAACCAUGUGUCAGGGGAACCGGGUUGAAUACCGGGCCGCAGAGGGUGAGGGCCCCGUACCUGAACGCGCAUGGUCUGCCGAUCGCGUCUCCCAAGUAGCACGGGUCCCGUGGAACCCCGUGCGAAUCCGCCCAGACCGUUGGGUAAGCCUGAAUAUUCCUGUCUGACCGAUAGCGAACGAGUACCGUGAGGGAAAGGUGAAAAGUACCCCGGGAGGGGAGUGAAACAGUCUCUGAAACCGUGCGCCUACAAUCCGUCGGAGCCCUUUUGUGGGGUGACGGCGUGCCUAUCGAAAAAUGAGUCUGCGAGUCAGUGGCAUGUGGCGAGCAUAACCCGUGUGGGGUAUGCGUAGCGAAGGCGAGUCUUAAAAGGCGUUUGAGUCGCGUGUCCUGGACCCGAAGCGGGAUGAUCUAGCCCUGAGCAGGUUGAAGCGCGGGUAAGACCGCGUGGAGGACCGAACCCACCUGGGUUGAAAACCGGGGGGAUGACUUGGGGCUAGGGGUGAAAGGCCAAUCAAAUUCCGUGAUAGCUGGUUCUCUCCGAAAUGCAUUUGGGUGCAGCGUCGGGUCAUUACGUCCCGGGGGUAGAGCUACUGGAUGCUUGCGGGCCCGUAUCGGGUACCAACAGCAACCAAACUCCGAAUACCGGUGACGCGUAUCCCGGCAGUGAGUCGGCGGGGGAUAAGCUUCGUCGUCGAAAGGGAAACAGCCCAGACCGUCGUCUAAGGUCCCGAAGCGUGUGCUAAGUGGGAAAGGAUGUGGAGUCGCAUAGACAGCCAGGAGGUUGGCUCAGAAGCAGCCACCCUUGAAAGAGUGCGUAACAGCUCACUGGUCUAGUGGUUCCGCGCCGACAAUGUAGCGGGGCUCAAGCACACCACCGAAGACGCGGCAGUAUUUUGUACUGGGUAGGAGAGCGUCCCAUGAGGGGCGAAGCGGCCGUGUGAACGCGCCGUGGACUUCAUGGGAGUGAGAAUGCAGACAUGAGUAGCGAGAGACGGGUGAAGAUCCCGUCCGCUGGAUGACCAAGGGUUCCAGGGCCACGUUCAUCGUCCCUGGGUGAGUCGGGUCCUAAGGCGAGGCCGACAGGCGUAGUCGAAUGGAUGAACGGGUCGAUAUUCCCGUACCGGCUUUCAGCCGCCAAAACCGAGGCUUGGAGUACUAACCUCCGGGUCCGGGCUUACUGCUCCUUCGGGGGCGGGAUGCCCUGGCCUGUUGGGACCGAUCCUUGUAGUAGGUCAGCGCAGGAGUGACGCAGAAGGGUAGCCGGCCGCGGAGGUGGUCUUCCGUGGUCAAGCACGCAGGGCGUGGGACAGGCAAAUCCGUCCCGCAUGGGUCCGAGGUGCGAUGAUGGGGGCCUUAUGGCCCGAUAUCCGGUGAUCCCGGCUGCCGAGAAAAGCUUCGGCGUCAGGCUCGAAGCCGCCCGUACCCCAAACCGACACUGGUGGUCAGGUAGAGAAUACCAAAGCGAUCGAGCGAAUCCUGGUCAAGGAACUCGGCAAAUCACUCCCGUUCCUUCGGUUUAAGGGAGACCCCCGAUGGUGAACACACUUGCUGUGGGAGCUUUUGGGGGUGGCACAGACCAGGGGGUAGCGACUGUUUACCAAAAACACAGGUGCAUGCGAAGGCGCAAGCCGCUGUAUAUGCACUGACGCCUGCCCGGUGCCGGAAGGUUAAGAGGAUCCGUCAGCCUUCGGGUGAAGCGGUGAAUUCAAGCCCCGGUAAACGGCGGUGGUAACUAUAACCAUCCUAAGGUAGCGAAAUUCCUUGUCGGGUAAGUUCCGACCUGCACGAAUGGCGUAACGACUUCCCCACUGUCUCGACCAGGAGCUCGGCGAAAUUGCAGUACGAGUAAAGAUGCUCGUUAAGCGCAGAAGGACGAAAAGACCCCGGGACCUUUACUAUACCUUGGUAUUGGCAUUCGGUGUGGAUUGUGUAGCAUAGGCGGGAGGCCGAGAGGCGCGGUCGCCAGAUCGCGCGGAGCCGUAAGGUGAAAUACCGCUCUGUUCGCAUUGGAUGU
rnacentral:rRNA from 1 species